CUCAGGGAUGGAUUCACUCAGGUCUGUGAUGCCCAGCAGGGGACCCUGGGGAGAGCACUGGGCUCCCCACCUCUUCUCUGCUGCCCUCCUCAGACAGAGGGACCCCUUCACUUCCUGGCACCUCCUCCACAGGACAGCUGUUCACCUUGGCUAAGCCCUGACUUCAGUGUCGCAGCCUCCUCGGCAGUUUACUCCGUGGCCAUUUCUUCCCACUGUGGAUUUGUUGUGGGGUCAGCUCACCAGAACCACUAAGGACAGCGACAGACCAGCCAAGACCUGUUAGUUGGAAAGGCCUCGGAUGCUUUCUCUGCUCUGUCUCUGCCCACGUUGCACCAUGACAGGGUGGUUGCCUUUUUAUGUCAGUUGUGAGACUUUCUAUUAGAGAAGAAUUUCCUGAGAAGCUGCAGAACCUAUCAUUUCAUCCUGUGUGUUCAAGUGUCUAGAGCUGUAUAACCUCUGAGCUCUCAGUAAUACCCUCGGUCAAUUUCUGUUUGUCUGACGAGCAGCAACCGCAGCAGCACACGGAGCUUGUAGACGCUGGUGAGUCUGUGGCUGCCUUCCGGGCGCGGUCAGCCCUCCACGUCCAGGUCUCCACAUCCAGGGAUCUAAUCAGCCACAGUGAGAAAGUGUUUGACAAAACAAUGAAGACGCACAGCAGUGCACAGUAGUACACGUGGAAUACAGCAGGACAGCGGUGAGCACAGAGUCUACGCGGGGUGAGGUAACACAGUUACAGCACACUGGAUUCCGGGCUCUCUGGACCAGUUCUUCACACAUCACCCACCAUUCCCGCAACUACCAGCCUCAGGCACACAGAGGCUUCAGUUCAGAUGCGUCCCUUCCCUAUUUUUCUUUGUAUGGUCUCAAUUAGGGCCAUCCUGAGAUCUCAGGCGUCUGGUCCUGUGAUCCAGGAUGUUAUCAUAUCUGCACCCAGGCUCGGUUACAAGCAGGCUCAUGACUUGGUCCCCAUCCGGGUCACUCACUGAACAUCUCUGUGGUGUAGCCAGCAGCUGUACUGAGU